AGAUAUCGAUGAUUUAUAAAAGGAUUCAGUUUAAUUUCUAUAUCAGUAGAUAUAAUAAGUGUAUUGAGACUGCAAGUGUUGUGAAAAUCUAUAAACAGAUUAAUUUUGAUUAAUUUUAUUACAAUGGCUGGCAAAACGUUUCUGCUGUUUACAUUCCUCCUAUCGGCCCUGCUGCUGGUCCACUCAGCACACUCCUGCAACUGUUCCCGGGAGCUGAAGCCGGUCUGUGCCCAGGGCAGGACCUUCAGCAACCCGUGCCUGCUGCAGUGUGAGAACGAGCAGAGAAUGAGUCGAGGACUGGCGCCGUACACCGUGACUUGUCGCGACGAGUGCGAGCAGUGUCAAUGAGGGUAGAGGUACAGCUGCUGAAGAUACACGGGUUCGUUAUCGACGUAGAUAAAUGUCACUUAUGACGAUACGAUAUAAACACGGUGCUGUUAUUGGUGGAACGCGAGUUAAACGAGUUUGUCGACGUCGAUAACGACCUGUGUAGCGGCCGCAGGGGUGGUCAGUUUUAUUUGUCCCGAGAUCAAUUAUUUAUUUAAAAAAUGAAAUAAAAUUCUUGUAAUCUUACAAUGUAAGCAAUGCAUUAUCUACCCUUUAGUCGUAAACGAUCUUUUUUUUUCGUGUCAUUAAUUUGUUAUAAAUUCCAUGUUGUUAUCUUAAUUUUUAUGGUUAUUUUUUAAUUUUAGCAUCUCUUCCAGUUUGAAAAAAAUAUUGAUAUACAUACUUAACAAGUUCAUGUUUUAUUGUGUCAACAGUUACAGGGAAAACAUUAUAUUAUUAUAUAUUUUAAAAUAAAGCAUAAAACUUU